GACGAACGCUGGCGGCGUGCUUAACACAUGCAAGUCGAACGGAAAGGCCUUUUCGGAGGUACUCGAGUGGCGAACGGGUGAGUAACACGCGGGUGAUCUGCCCUGCACUCUGGGAUAAGCCUGGGAAACUGGGUCUAAUACCGGAUAGGACCGCACUUUAGCGUUUGUGGUGGCAAGCGUUUUCGGUGUAGGAUGAGCCCGCGGCCUAUCAGCUUGUUGGUGGGGUAAUGGCCUACCAAGACGGCGACGGGUAGCCGGACUGGGAGGUUGAGCGGCCACAGCGGGACUGGGAUUGGGACCCGACCCCGACGGGAGGGAGAAGUGGGAGAGGGUGAACAAGGGGAACGAGCCUGAUGCUGAUACGGCACGUGGGGGAGAGCGGUGUAGGGGUUGGAGACGUAAUGCGCCAGGGACGAGGCGGUUUGUGACGGUACCUGGAGAAGAAGCACCGGCUAACUACGUG
rnacentral:rRNA from 1 species